rnacentral:rRNA from 1 species
GACGAACGCUGGCGGCGUGCCUAAUACAUGCAAGUUGAGCGAUGAAGAUUGGUGCUUGCACCAAUUUGAAGAGCAGCGAACGGGUGAGUAACGCGUGGGGAAUCUGCCUUUGAGCGGGGGACAACAUUUGGAAACGAAUGCUAAUACCGCAUAAUAACUUUAAACAUAAGUUUUAAGUUUGAAAGAUGCAAUUGCAUCACUCAAGGAUGAUCCCGCGUUGUAUUAGCUAGUUGGUGAGGUAAAGGCUCACCAAGGCGAUGAUACAUAGCCGACCUGAGAGGGUGAUCGGCCACAUUGGGACUGAGACGCGGCCCAAACUCCUACGGGAGGCAGCAGUAGGGAAUCUUCGGCAAUGGACGAAAGUCUGACCGAGCAACGCCGCGUGAGUGAAGAAGGUUUUCGGAUCGUAAAACUCUGUUGGUAGAGAAGAACGUUGGUGAGAGUGGAAAGCUCAUCAAGUGACGGUAACUACCCAGAAAGGGACGGCUAACUACGUG